rnacentral:misc_RNA from 1 species
UUAAGUUCAGCGGGUAUCCCUACCUGAUCCGAGGUCAAUCCUUGUGAGAUGGAGGGUUAGCCGGGGCCUCCGCGGUCGGACGGUGCGUGCUCGGGGAGCUCGUUGCACCGCGGCCGUCGGGGAGCCGGCGUUGUCUUUGAGGUGGACCCCGCCACGCGGACGGGUCGCACCCAGCACCAAGCCCGGGGGCUUGAGGGGAU